rnacentral:rRNA from 1 species
AGAGUUUGAUCCUGGCUCAGGAUGAACGCUAGCGGCAGGCUUAAUACAUGCAAGUCGAGGGGCAGCGGGUCUAGCAAUAGAUGCCGGCGACCGGCGCACGGGUGCGUAACACGUAUGUAAUCUGCCCUUCACUGGGGAAUAGCCCGGAGAAAUCCGGAUUAAUACCCCAUAACAAAUGAAACGGCAUCGUUUUAUUUUGA